AUUGAACGCUGGCGGCAGGCCUAACACAUGCAAGUCGAACGGUAACAGGAAGCAGCUUGCUGCUUCGCUGACGAGUGGCGGACGGGUGAGUAAUGUCUGGGAAGCUGCCUGAUGGAGGGGGAUAACUACUGGAAACGGUAGCUAAUACCGCAUAAUGUCGCAAGACCAAAGAGGGGGACCUUCGGGCCUCUUGCCAUCGGAUGUGCCCAGAUGGGUUUAGCUUGUUUGUGGGGUAACGGCUCACCAAGGCGACGAACCCUAGCUGGUCUGAGAGGAUGACCAGCCACACUGGAACUGAAACACGGUCCAGACUCCUACGGGAGGCAGCAGUGGGGAAUAUUGCAGAAUAGACGCAAGCCUGAUGCAGCCAUGCCGCGUGUAUGAAGAAGGCCUUCGGGUUGUAAAGUACUUUCAGCGGGGAGGAAGGGAGUAAAGUUAAUACCUUUGCUCAUUGACGUUACCCGCAGAAGAAGCACCGGCUAACUCCGUG
rnacentral:rRNA from 1 species